GACGAACGCUGGCGGCGUGCUUAACACAUGCAAGUCGUACGGUAAGGCCCUUUCGGGGGUACCCGAGUGGCGAACGGGUGAGUAACACGUGAGUAACCUGCCCACAACUUUUGGAUAACGCUAGGAAACUGGUGCUAAUACUGGAUAUGUGCUCCUGCUGCAUGGUGGGGGUUGGAAAGCUCCGGGGGUUGUGGAUGGGCUCGCGGCCUAUCAGCUUGUUGGUGGGGUAGUGGGCUACCAAGGCGGCGACGGGUAGCCGGACUGGGAGGGUGACCGGCCACAUUGGGACUGAGAUACGGCAGAGACGCCGACGGGAGGCAGAAGGGGGGAAGAUUGCACAAGGGGCGCAAGCCGGAUGCAGAAACGCCGCGGGCGGGAUGACGGCCUUGGGGUUGUAAACAGCUUUCAGCAGGGACGAAGCUUUUUGUGACGGUACCUGCAGAAGAAGCACCGGCUAACUACGUG
rnacentral:rRNA from 1 species